rnacentral:rRNA from 1 species
AUUGAACGCUGGCGGCAGGCCUAGCACAUGCAAGUCGAGCGAGCGGCGGACGGGUGAGGAAUGUCUGGGAAACUGCCUGCUGGAGGGGGAUAACUACUGGAAACGGUAGCUAAUACCGCAUACCAUCAGACGUGACUAGAUGGGAUUAGCUAGUAGGUGGGGUAACGGCUCACCCAGGCGACGAUCCCUAGCUGGUCUGAGAGGAUGACCAGCCCCACUGGAACUGAGACACGGUCCAGACGCCUACGUGAGGCAGCAGUGGGGAAUAUUGCACAAUGGGCGCAAGCCUGAUGCAGCCAUGCCGCUUGUGUGAAGAAGGCCUUCGGGUUGUAAAGCACUUUCAGCGGGGAGGCGUUACCCGCAGAAGAAGCACCGGCUAACGCCGUGCCAGCAGCCGCGGUAAUAC